ACUACAUGGAUACCUGUGGUAAUUCUAGAGCUAAUACAUGCUAAAAACCCCGACUUCAGGAAGGGGUGUAUUUAUUAGAUAAAAAACCAACGCCCUUCGGGGCUCCUUGGUGAAUCAUAAUAACUUAACGAAUCGCAUGGCCUUGCGCCGGCGAUGGUUCAUUCAAAUUUCUGCCCUAUCAACUUUCGAUGGUAGGAUAGUGGCCUACCAUGGUGGCAACGGGUAACGGGGAAUUAGGGUUCGAUUCCGGAGAGGGAGCCUKAGAAACGGCUACCACAUCCAAGGAAGGCAGCAGGCGCGCAAAUUACCCAAUCCCGAUACGGGGAGGUAGUGACAAUAAAUACUGAUACGGGGCUCUUUUGGGUCUCGUAAUUGGAAUGAGAACAAUUUAAAUCCCUUAACGAGGAACAAUUGGAGGGCAAGUCUGGUGCCAGCAGCCGCGGUAAUUCCAGCUCCAAUAGCGUAUAUUAAAGUUGUUGCAGUUAAAAAGCUCGUAGUUGAACCUUGGGCCUGGCUGGCCGGUCCGCCUCACCGCGAGUACUGGUCCGGCUGGGCCUUUCCUUCUGGGGAACCUCAUGGCCUUCACUGGCUGUKGGGGGAACCAGGACUUUUACUGUGAAAAAAUUAGAGUGUUCAAAGCAGGCCUUUGCUCGAAUACAUUAGCAUGGAAUAAUAGAAUAGGACGUGUGGUUCUAUUUU
rnacentral:rRNA from 1 species